rnacentral:rRNA from 1 species
CAGCCGCCGCGGUAACACGUAGGGUGCGAGCGUUAAUCGGAAUUACUGGGCGUAAAGCGUGCGCAGGCGGUUAUAUAAGACAGAUGUGAAAUCCCCGGGCUCAACCUGGGACCUGCAUUUGUGACUGUAUAGCUAGAGUACGGUAGAGGGGGAUGGAAUUCCGCGUGUAGCAGUGAAGUGCGUAGAUAUGCGGAGGAACACCGAUGGCGAAGGCAAUCCCCUGGACCUGUACUGACGCUCAUGCACGAAAGCGUGGGGAGCAAACAGGAUUAGAUACCCGUGUAGUCCCUGUCUCUUAUAC